GCAAAUCGCAAAAAGGGAAAAGAAAAACCACAAAAUAGUCGAUUGAAUUCAAGGAAAGGUAAUUGUAAUUGUGAUCUAUUUGAACCUUCAGUACUUUGAUAAGAGAUGAGUUUAUUUGCAAAAGUUUCAGACGGAUCAUUUAAAAAAUCAACAUUUGGACAUCUUGUUAUUAACUUUUGUUCUAUAAGAGAAGAAAAAACUGAAUUAAAUCGUGAUUUCCAAAUAUGGCUUCGGAUAAGACUAAAUUCUGAACCAAGAAGACCUAGGACUGGAAUUCGAAACCAAGAGAAGACCUGGGACUAGAAUUCUAAACAAAGAAAAGACUAACACAAUUCUAAACCAAGAAGACCUAGGAAUCGAAUUCUAAACCAAGAAGACCUAGGAAUCGAAUUCUAAACCAAGAAGAGACCUAGGACUAGAAUUCUAAACCAAGAAGAGACCUAGGAAUUGAAUUCUAAACAAAGAAGAGACCUAGGACUAGAAUUCUAAACCAA